GGGGCUGUGGCUCAGCGGAAGAGCUUCUGCUUCGCACACAGAAGGUCCCUGGUUCGAUUCCUGGUGUCUCCC